AGAAGAAAAAUCUCAGAAUUGUUGCAGAAAGAAAACGUGAAUGUGAAAUUAGGUUUUUAGGAUUUUAUACCCGAGUACAGAAAACAGCAAGUAAAAUCCGGUUAAGGAAAACCGGCUCGGACGUCUGAGGGUUGGAUCAAUCAAUCCCCACCUGUGAUCGAUCGAUCCCUAGCUACUGGUAUAUUAUCGUUUCGUCGUCACUUCUCAGGUCGAUCGAUCCCCAAUCACUGGUCGUUCUCGUUUCGUCGUCACUUCCCAUAUC
rnacentral:lncRNA from 1 species